rnacentral:misc_RNA from 1 species
GAAAAGAAAAAUGUGAGACAAUAUGUUGAUGCAGCAACUGCUAGUCCAUACUCCAAAAAGAUGAUGAUUGUUGGCACUAAGCACCCGAGUCCGAUAAAUUGAGUUAGAUCAAAGAUAAAAAAUAGUAUUAUUGCAAGUGAUGUCGGAAACAAGUAGCUGAUGAAGUCCCAUAGAUAUGUUGAAAUCCAAUAUGAUAGUAUGGAAACCCCACUAAUCAGCUGCUGAUGUUUUGCUUUGACUUCA